AAGCGGCGCAUGCUAUACAUGCAAGUCGAGCGGACAGAAGGGAGCUUGCUCCCGGAUGUUAGCGGCGGACGGGUGAGUAACACGUGGGUAACCUGCCUGUAAGACUGGGAUAACUCCGGGAAACCGGAGCUAAUACCGGAUAGUUCCUUGAACCGCAUGGUUCAAGGAUGAAAGACGGUUUCGGCUGUCACUUACAGAUGGACCCGCGGCGCAUUAGCUAGUUGGUGAGGUAACGGCUCACCAAGGCGACGAUGCGUAGCCGACCUGAGAGGGUGAUCGGCCACACUGGGACUGAGACACGGCCCAGACUCCUACGGGAGGCAGCAGUAGGGAAUCUUCCGCAAUGGACGAAAGUCUGACGGAGCAACGCCGCGUGAGUGAUGAAGGUUUUCGGAUCGUAAAGCUCUGUUGUUAGGGAAGAACAAGUGCAAGAGUAACUGCUUGCACCUUGACGGUACCUAACCAGAAAGCCACGGCUAACUACGUGCCAGCAGCCGCGGUAAUACGUAGGUGGCAAGCGUUGUCCGGAAUUAUUGGGCGUAAAGGGCUCGCAGGCGGUUUCUUAAGUCUGAUGUGAAAGCCCCCGGCUCAACCGGGGAGGGUCAUUGGAAACUGGGAAACUUGAGUGCAGAAGAGGAGAGUGGAAUUCCACGUGUAGCGGUGAAAUGCGUAGAGAUGUGGAGGAACACCAGUGGCGAAGGCGACUCUCUGGUCUGUAACUGACGCUGAGGAGCGAAAGCGUGGGGAGCGAACAGGAUUAGAUACCCUGGUAGUCCACGCCGUAAACGAUGAGUGCUAAGUGUUAGGGGGUUUCCGCCCCUUAGUGCUGCAGCUAACGCAUUAAGCACUCCGCCUGGGGAGUACGGUCGCAAGACUGAAACUCAAAGGAAUUGACGGGGGCCCGCACAAGCGGUGGAGCAUGUGGUUUAAUUCGAAGCAACGCGAAGAACCUUACCAGGUCUUGACAUCCUCUGACAACCCUAGAGAUAGGGCUUUCCCUUCGGGGACAGAGUGACAGGUGGUGCAUGGUUGUCGUCAGCUCGUGUCGUGAGAUGUUGGGUUAAGUCCCGCAACGAGCGCAACCCUUGAUCUUAGUUGCCAGCAUUCAGUUGGGCACUCUAAGGUGACUGCCGGUGACAAACCGGAGGAAGGUGGGGAUGACGUCAAAUCAUCAUGCCCCUUAUGACCUGGGCUACACACGUGCUACAAUGGACAGAACAAAGGGCUGCGAGACCGCAAGGUUUAGCCAAUCCCACAAAUCUGUUCUCAGUUCGGAUCGCAGUCUGCAACUUGACUGCGUGAAGCUGGAAUCGCUAGUAAUCGCGGAUACUAGACAUGUCGCGUCGCGUGAGAUAUCGUUANCCGGGCCUU
rnacentral:rRNA from 1 species